UUCGCGUUGUCCGCGCUCGCACAGAUUUUUAUCCCGUAAACGAGCAAAAACCAUCGUCUUGCUAACAUAUCUCGUGUCAUUAAGGUGUUAGGAAGCAUCUUAGAAUCGAGUAAUUUGUUCCGUCAUCAUGGUUCGAUGGUACUUCUAAUUGGAUACGAACAACCGAAUUCGGUGCUAAUUAAAGCAGAAUUUACAUUCGAUCGGUCGCUACUUUCUCGAUACUAACAUCUCCCAGUUCCCCUUUCCGACUCUCCAAGUAUCCUUUCAAUUUUUGAUGCACACGCUACGAGUUACGUAAAAAAAACUUUCUUUUCGAUCGCGAAUCACGCUCGGAUUACAUAAAAGAAGUUCCUUCAAAUAGAAAACAAAUAUUACGUUAAAAACUGCGUGUGCUAUUAAUUCAACAUGUCUGCUUCGAUUUUUGUUUCGAGCAUGCAACGAGUUAUAAAACUACGUUUCAAUCUAUAUGGCUAUUUAUCUGACAUCUUACAGUAUGAAAUCUUAUGUUAUAAUAAGCGAUACGAUAUUUGCAUUUCCUUAUUAGCAUCAAUAUACAAAUGAGAAUUCUAACGUAAAACACCAUCAGCAAAUUUAUUCUACCAGACCAGAAAUUGUGAACAUUGGAAAACAAACAAUGGGCAUAAUAUUCCACUCAAACGACUAUGCACUAAUAAACGCUCCAACGAAUCAACGAAGAACUUAAAACUUCAGUAUCCAGCGUCUAUUAAUAAAUCCAUCUUGCCAGACCAUGGAGCACAAAAAAGCCAGGAAACGGGGAACAUAAAAUUACACCCAUUAAUAUCAGCCUACUAAAAAUAAGUAAAACAAAAUAAUUAGUGUAGAUUUUGCGAAACAGUCGAGUAUCACGGCGACACAACGCGCCAAAUAAGACGAACGAUGGGGAACAUUAAAAUACGAAACGAUCGGUGGAUGGAUGGGAUCGGGUCGACAUUAAUGACGCGAACGCUACUUUUAAAUCGUCCUGGCGGUGUGGCCAUAUCGAGGAACCGCGGCGUGGGUCGCCACGCGUGAUCGCUGUUUACAUACAAGACGAACGCGAGGUGGAAACGAGACAAAAAGCUAAGAACGCGAGGAAAAAACGCGAGGUACAAGCGCCGUGCAGGAAAUGCGCCACAGCAUCGCGUUUCACCAUCAAGACCAAUGCCAAUUCAGGAAGAUUCAAUGAAAAUCACGAAAAUUGUUGUUUCGUCCGAGUCACUUAAAACUUUAAAAUCGAGAAGCAAAGUGAUAUUGUUAAAAGCAUUGUAUUGUUUAAUUUA